rnacentral:rRNA from 1 species
UACGUAGGUGGCAAGCGUUGUCCGGAAUUAUUGGGCGUAAAGCGCGCGCAGGCGGUCUCUUAAGUCUGAUGUGAAAGCCCACGGCUCAACCGUGGAGGGUCAUUGGAAACUGGGGGACUUGAGUGCAGAAGAGGAAAGCGGAAUUCCACGUGUAGCGGUGAAAUGCGUAGAGAUGUGGAGGAGCACCAGUGGCGAAGGCGGCUUUCUGGUCUGUAACUGACGCUGAGGCGCGAAAGCGUGGGGAGCAAACAGG